rnacentral:sRNA from 1 species
CCAGGCUUCGUUGCCCCCAGCGACCCAAAAGUCCGAUUUCCCCGCCUUGAUUCUCCCCACUUCCCAAUACAGGCGUCUGGCUCCGCAGCAGAACACGAAGUUUGCAUUCCCCAAGGGGCGGCCAGGGGGCGGACCAGGGAAAGGUAGUCCUCUGCAUUUUGCCGUGUGCUGGAAUGGUGUAGAGUGACGAUGAGGUGGCGGUAAGGGGUUGAGCGCUCACGCGAACGCCUAAGUGACCAGAACGACUGGUGUGAAGCCGUGAUCUGACUCUGUGGAGCCUGGGACUGGUUUCAGCGAGAGCCUCUGUACUGCUCUGUAGUCUCUGCUAGGACAUGGACGAAAAGGGACGCAGCCGGGAGAGCGACUGCCCCAGGUGGGGGCUGGGGGGACGUAAGGGAAGAAUAAUGAUUAUCUGGCUGUGUUUUUGUUUAAAAAAAAAAAAAAAACUGGUGUAAAUCUCCAUAGACUUCCUAUCCUCGCUCCCUUCACCCACCCACGCGCUCCCAAGAUGCAAUAAGCAAAUAAAAAGACUAAUAACGCUGUA